AUGAACGCUGGCGGCGUGCCUCAUCCAUGCAAGUCGCGCGAACAGACGAGGAGCUUGCUCCUCUGACGUUAGCGGCGGACGGGUGAGUAACACGUGGAUAACCUACCUAUAAGACUGGGAUAACUUCGGGAAACCGGAGCUAAUACCGGAUAAUAUAUUUAACCGCAUGGUUCAAUAGUGAAAGACGGUUUUGCUGUCACUUAUAGAUGGAUCCGCGCCGCAUUAGCUAGUUGGUAAGGUAACGGCUUACCAAGGCAACGAUGCGUAGCCGACCUGAGAGGGUGAUCGGCCACACUGGAACUGAGACACGGUCCAGACUCCUACGGGAGGCAGCAGUAGGGAAUCUUCCGCAAUGGGCGAAAGCCUGACGGAGCAACGCCGCGUGAGUGAUGAAGGUCUUCGGAUCGUAAAACUCUGUUAUUAGGGAAGAACAAAUGUGUAAGUAACUAUGCACGUCUUGACGGUACCUAAUCAGAAAGCCACGGCUAACUACGUG
rnacentral:rRNA from 1 species